ACCAACGAAAUAUUGGAUUACAGUUUCGAUCGGUGGAAACGAACUAUUGAUAGAGAUAUUCGAUUUGCAAUCGCUUGUUUCAUUGUAUUUGAAUGUAAUUCGACGUUGUUGGUCGAUUCGUAAUCGAUAGAGAGGAACGAGUCGAUUUAAAAUUGCGGUCAGAGUUAAUUUGAAUCGUGAAAUGUUUGAAACGGAAGAGUAAUUCAUGAUUAGUAUUUAAUCGGAAUGUUAAAUGUAUAGAUCGCGAAAUUAAACGUUCUCUCCGAGCCUUGAAAUUGUAACAAAGAAUCUUCAGAACUCUUUGAAGAGACAGGACGUGAAUAUCCUGUGGAAAAAUGGGAUUACUCGGAUUUUCAAAGGAUUUAUAGGAUCGCGCGAAUUUUUUUAAUGCCACCGGAUAUGUUCGCCUUGCGUCCAUUCGAGAAACAAAAGGAACGGAUAUCGAUAACAACGGGGGUAACAGGAAUGAGAUGUACCCGUUAAUGGACACGAACGUUUGCACAUCGGUUUUACUGCUAUGGAAUUAAAUCGCGUGACAAUCGUCACGUCGAAGGCAUCGGUGCACUGUAUUAAUGUCGAUGACGAUCGGAAUUUCAAACAUUCCCGUGCAUAGAAACAAAAUUGAGAUAACAAAAUUCAUUUAAUUUUCCCAAAGGAAUACGAAAGAUAUAUAUCUUUCAUCUAACAUACAAAGUCCUCGAGAAAUCCUUAUUCAAUUACGUAUUCUCUUUUCAGGUGUUUAAACGUUUAAAUGAAUACGUCAGUGCUUGUAUUCGG